rfam:Linderina pennispora strain ATCC 12442 DL89scaffold_72, whole genome shotgun sequence.
GGCCGCUUAGCUCAGAGGCUAGAGCGCUCGUUUCCGAUGCGAGAAGUCCACGGUUCGAUCCCGUGAUCGGUCG